CACUCCUACGGGAGGCAGCAGUGGGGAAUAUUGGACAAUGGGCGCAAGCCUGAUCCAGCCAUGCCGCGUGAGUGAUGAAGGCCCUAGGGUUGUAAAGCUCUUUCACCGGUGAAGAUAAUGACGGUAACCGGAGAAGAAGCCCCGGCUAACUUCGUGCCAGCAGCCGCGGUAAUACGAAGGGGGCUAGCGUUGUUCGGAUUUACUGGGCGUAAAGCGCACGUAGGCGGACUAUUAAGUCAGGGGUGAAAUCCCGGGGCUCAACCCCGGAACUGCCUUUGAUACUGGUAGUCUUGAGUUCGAGAGAGGUGAGUGGAAUUCCGAGUGUAGAGGUGAAAUUCGUAGAUAUUCGGAGGAACACCAGUGGCGAAGGCGGCUCACUGGCUCGAUACUGACGCUGAGGUGCGAAAGCGUGGGGAGCAAACAGGAUUAGAUACCCGUGUAGUCC
rnacentral:rRNA from 1 species